CGCCGCUCGAGAGUUUGAUCCUGGCUCAGGACGAACGCUGGCGGCGUGCUUAACACAUGCAAGUCGAACGAUGAACCACUUCGGUGGGGAUUAGUGGCGAACGGGUGAGUAACACGUGGGCAAUCUGCCCUGCACUCUGGGACAAGCCCUGGAAACGGGGUCUAAUACCGGAUACUGAACCUUGCAGGCAUCUGUGAGGGUCGAAAGCUCCGGCGGUGCAGGAUGAGCCCGCGGCCUAUCAGCUAGUUGGUGAGGUAAUGGCUCACCAAGGCGACGACGGGUAGCCGGCCUGAGAGGGCGACCGGCCACACUGGGACUGAGACACGGCCCAGACUCCUACGGGAGGCAGCAGUGGGGAAUAUUGCACAAUGGGCGAAAGCCUGAUGCAGCGACGCCGCGUGAGGGAUGACGGCCUUCGGGUUGUAAACCUCUUUCAGCAGGGAAGAAGCGAAAGUGACGUACUGCAGACGACGGUCUAUUC
rnacentral:rRNA from 1 species